UCCCACCGACAAGCCCCUCCGUCUUCCCCUCCAGGAUGUCUACAAGAUCGGUGGUAUUGGCACGGUUCCCGUCGGUCGUGUCGAGACCGGUACCAUCAAGGCCGGCAUGGUCGUCACCUUCGCCCCCGCUGGUGUCACCACUGAGGUCAAGUCCGUCGAGAUGCACCACGAGCAGCUUCCCGAGGGUCUUCCCGGUGACAACGUCGGCUUCAACGUCAAGAACGUCUCCGUCAAGGAGAUCCGUCGUGGCAACGUUGCCGGUGACUCCAAGAACGACCCCCCCAAGGGCUGCGACAGCUUCAACGCCCAGGUCAUCGUCCUCAACCACCCCGGUCAGGUCGGCGCCGGCUACGCGCCCGUCCUCGACUGCCACACUGCUCACAUUGC
rnacentral:misc_RNA from 1 species